AAUGACGUCGAAAAGUUCAUGUCCGCGUAAACUUGCUAUCUGAACCACUGUGGAAUGGAAUCGUCCUCUUGCUUCUUAAAAGUUGUAUACGAUUACGCCAUAAGGACAAGUACAUUGGGACAACAGCCACCGGUUGAAUCGGUUUUGUCUAGUUUAACAACAGUCGCCACUCUGGGGUGCAGCUUGGUCACCGCAAGAGGCGUCCCGAGUGUCCUGCCAAAUAUCCAUUGCUCGAAUCGACCUCUGAUUCGGGGACGGAAGUGAAUAGUUAUUAUCUGAUAUUUUGUACUAUCAAACUACAAGACUUGCAUGAAAAUUAUCGACGAGUAAAUGCUGUAAAUUAAAGUGAAUUUGUCUAAAUGUA